rnacentral:lncRNA from 1 species
GGAUAUGAGAAAUAUGAUUUCAAACUAUUCCACUUUACAGAAUGAAUAUAAUUUGGUUAAGGCAGAGUUAAACGAGUUGAAGUUAAAUGUGACAAGAAAUAUCAAUACGCCAGUCUUUUGGAACAGGAAUUGUCAACUGUUAGGCAGCUAAAACAUGUAGCCAACCUACAAACUGUCGUUAACUUAACUAAUGAUGCGAAACGCUUAGAGUACGAACUACAAAUUACGAAUGACAAAAUAAGUUCUAUUGCUAACGACGUCGGUGCUAUAGGAAACAGGAUUUUAUUGCUCUUUUUAAUAAAGCUGAAUUAACAGACCGAAACUUAGAUCUCGCAUUGAAAACAAUUGAAACUAACUUUAGUUCACUAACCCAACAUACGGACCAUUCUAUAAAUAAAUCAUUUUCGUAUUUUGAAACGCGAUUACAAAUGUUGAAAAGUAUGCAGAACGUAUCUACAGGAAAAUUAGAAAAGGAAAUACAUUCAAUGUCUGAUAGAG